GCCUGGGUGGCUCAGUCAGUUGGGCGUCUGACUUCGGCUCAGGUCAUGAUCUGACGGUUCAUGGGUUCAAGUCCCACGUUGGGCU
rnacentral:tRNA from 1 species